GAAUCGACGCGAGACGACGACGACAAAAUCAUGUUCGCCGCGAGCGCCGUCGCGGGACGACGCGCCGCGAGCGCGUGCGCGCGACGCGGCUUGCACACGACGAGAACCGCGAUGGGGGGCGCGGACGAACCGGUGCGGCGACGACGCGCAAAGCGCGCGGGACGCGAUCGAGCGCGAACGAGGGACGGGGGGGACCGCGCGAGAAAGCGCGCGGGACGACGCGCGCGCGAAAACGCGACGCGCGCGCGAAGAGACGUCGACGCGUCGACGCGGGAUGACUGACGAGGACGACGACGCGCGAGGGCGCGGCGACGCGCGCAGGCGUACAUUCACGCGAAGCGCAUGUACGACGUCGGCGCGACGAAGAACCGAAAGUUGGUCUUCGGCGUCGCCACGGCGGCGAUCGUGCUGAUCGGGGGGUACAUUCCCGUGUUUGCGAUUCAGUUUCAGGUGCGCGCGCGCGCGCGACGCGCGACGCGCGGGCGAGGGCGCGACGCGCGGAUACCCUAACGCGACGCGAGGGGCGAUCUCGCUCGAGCGGUCGAGACUGACGAACGCGACGACCGCGCGCGCGAAUCGCAGCAAAACAAAACCAAGGCGUAGGCGCUUAGGCGAGACGCGCUUCGAACGCGCCCCGAUCGCGGGCCUCGGGUUGUGAUGCCGCCACACGUGCUGUACGAUUACACGCGCCGCCGCUUCGAUUUCGACCUCGAGCGCGACGUCCUCCUAAUCUCAUCCCUCGACCGUCGCGCUCACCGCUUCGCGCGCUUUCCCCCCGCGUCCGCCGCGUCGUCGUCGUCCGCCUCUUCCGCCACCGCACCGACGUAAUAC
rnacentral:lncRNA from 1 species